GAUGAACGCUAGCGGCAGGCCUAACACAUGCAAGUCGAGGGGCAGCACGGUGUAGCAAUACACUGGUGGCGACCGGCGCACGGGUGCGUAACGCGUAUGCAACCCUACCCAUAACGAGGGGGGAUAAACACUGGAGAAAUUUGGUACUAAACUACCCCCAAUAAACAUCAGGACCGGCAUCGGUUCUGGUUGAAAACUCCGGUGGUUAUGGAUGGGCAUGCGUUGUAUUAGCUGGUUGGUGAGGUAACGGCUCACCAAGGCAACGAUACAUAGGGGGACUGAGACGGUUAACCCCCACCAUUGGUACUGAGACACGGACCAAACUCCUACGGGAGGCAGCAGUGAGGAAUAUUGGUCAAUGGACGCAAGUCUGAACCAGCCAUGCCGCGUGCAGGAAGACGGCUCUAAUGAGUUGUAAACUGCUUUUGUACGAGGGUAAACGCUCUUACGUGUAAGAGCCCUGAAAGUAUCGUACGAAUAAGGAUC
rnacentral:rRNA from 1 species